CGCUGGCGGCGUGCUUAACACAUGCAAGUCGAGCGGUAAGGCCCUUCGGGGUACACGAGCGGCGAACGGGUGAGUAACACGUGAGCAAUCUGCCCUCCACAUCGGGAUAACCCCCGGAAACGGGAGCUAAUACCGGAUACGACCAUUUCAGGCAUCUGAUGGUGGUGGAAAGUUCUGGCGGUGGAGGAUGAGCUCGCGGCCUAUCAGCUUGUUGGUGGGGUAAUGGCCCACCAAGGCUUCGACGGGUAGCCGGCCUGAGAGGGUGACCGGCCACACUGGGACUGAGACACGGCCCAGACUCCUACGGGAGGCAGCAGUGGGGAAUAUUGGACAAUGGGCGAAAGCCUGAUCCAGCAACGCCGCGUGAGGGAUGACGGCCUUCGGGUUGUAAACCUCUUUCAGCGCAGACGAAGCGAAAGUGACGGUAUGCGCAGAAGAAGCACCGGCC
rnacentral:rRNA from 1 species